rnacentral:lncRNA from 12 species
CUCAAAACCGCUCAAGGUCACGUUCCACCCCAAAAUCAGAAGAAAAAAGAAACUGUGUAUUAUGCGAAAGCCUGUUUUAGAACCACCAAUAACUUUGUUACUUUUGAAUAAAAUUUUGACAUUUUACAGUUUACCGUAAUCAGCAAAAAAACAGAUUCUCAUUACUGUAAUACGAAAAAAUAUUAUUCAGUUCAGUUUAUAGAUGAUAUUGUUACUGUACUGCCUUUAAUUUGAUAAAUCAUUUUAUUACAGUUAUAUAUAUUUUAUAUUGUAAUACUACAUUACAGUAAUGAGUAAUGCAUUACUAAAUGCUUUAUUGUAAAUAAUUGUCAUGAAAUGAUUUAAAAUAUAGUCAUUUUAGGCAUAAUACAGUUUUAUUUUCUUUUGACGUUGGGGUUAAAACCUGGAUGUGUUUUUUGUGAUUCACCCAUAUAUAUAUGAAACAUACUUAUUGAAAGAAACCAGAAUAAGAGCUGUGUCAUAUUGUGAAAACCCAAGUGAUCCAAGAACAUCUGUGACUGAGUGCAGGUUUCUCUCCUAAUAUUUAUUUGCACAGCGAAGAUUAUUAGAACAUUGAACAAACAGAAAAGUGUGAAUGUUUUUUUUUUUUUUUUUUUAUUGGCAACAUUUAAUAUAAUUUUCUACAUUUAGCAUCGUCCUUAAAACUCAUGAGAGAAAAUUUCACCCUGCAUUUUUUGGGCCUUUAUCCAAGCGGCACACGGCCAGAGAACGUAAUAAAAGCUCUCUCUUGCUUUCUCUCACUCUAACUCUUUCUUUUUUUUUUUUCUUUUAUAUUUUUAAAUCUCCUCACAUCCAGCUGUCUUCUCUCAGUCUGCAACACAUAUUCAGUGACUUUCAGUUCAAGGCAACUUUUUUUUUUAACUUAUUUUAAGUUAAAUGGUUUGUUUUUGUAAAUCAUAAUAAAGGAGAAGAACAAAUGAAUGAAUGUAUCACUGCUGAUGAUGAAAUGUUUCAUAAAAACUCAUUUGUCUCUCCAUAGAUCACGAACACAAACUAACACCAGAGUUUCUGUGUUUAUUCCUAUUCUUUAUUCUAAUAGACACUUUCAAAGCCAAGAGCUGAAUCUCGAGUCAGAUUCAUGUUCAGAUCGGACUGAAUGAUCAGCCAGCCGUCUG